rnacentral:tmRNA from 2 species
GGGGGCGACUUGGCUUCGACGCGGGUCGCAAAACCUCAGGUGCAUGCCGAGGACGUCACUCAACCUCGUAAAACAUGUGGCAGCAAAGAUAGUUGCCAACGACGACAACUACGCCCUCGCGGCCUAAAUAACCGCGAGCGGUCGGCAUCCGGUCUCCCGUGGCCGAUGUUCGACCGGCAUAGCACACGGGAUAGCGCCUCGGACCGCCCGGAUCCGUUGCGCGAAACCUUGACGGGAUCGCCGACUGCACGCCCUGUCCGUCGGGUGGCAGCCGGCUAAAAAUAAUAGACGGAUCUAAGCAUGUAGACCCUGGGGCGGAGGUCCCGCGGACGCGGGUUCGAUUCCCGCCGCCUCCACCA